AAUCCCGCAAACUCUUUCUAAAGAACAAGAAGCUGAUGUUCUCUGUCUCUGUAUUUUAUCUCUUGCUCAAUGGUUUACUUUACUUAUUCAACGUCCUUACCAUUACACCCGAGAUAACAAACUUGACCCAAGAUUUAAAUUUGUUACCUACGAUGGAUCCUAGUAGCCCGGAAUACAUGGCCCAACUUAUGAAGGUCUUUGCAGAUUUUCGCCUAUUUGUCGUGUCUUCAGACAUCUUUAACGCUGUCUCCUUCAUCAUCAACCUUUUAUCCGUUCUAGUCAUCGUCCAGGCUUCGGCUCUUACUUAUAAACAUGAGAACGUCAAGUUCAAAGAUUUUGUGGUUCUGAUUCUUAAAUCUUGGAAGGGACCUCUUGUGACCUCUUUCUACAUUUCUCUCUUUAGUCUUGGCUACUGUUUGUUCUUCGUUAUAAUCCUCUUUCCUAUUCUUUUGUCAUCUUUGAGUAUUGCUUCCUUGUUUUCCUUAGUAGCCAAGGUUUUCGUUUUACUUGUUCUAUUCUUAUUGUUUGCGUCUUAUUUAGCUAUUGUCUGGUACCUAUCUAUGGUCAUAUCAGUACUGGAGGAAACUUAUGGGAUACAAGCUUUGGGAGAAGCUGCAAAGAUUGUUAAAGGGAUGAAGCCAAAACUAUUCCUCUUGAAUAUUUUCUACGGUUUAUUGAUCUUUGGUUUAGCUCAGAUCGUGACUCUAGUGAGUCUAGUGGUUGAUAGGAGCCAGUCGUUUGUGGUUACCUUAGCCAUCGGUUUGGUUCUAGUGGUGUCAGCAUUUGUGGGGAUGUUUCUACUUAUGACUUACACCGUUGCAUAUUUCCAAUGUAAGAGCCCCCACGGCCAAGACGUUGAGUCGCUGCGGGAUGUUGAGUAUACGACGCUACCCACUACUUCGCUUAUAGGAGCAUUGCCUUGAAAUCGUUAAAAGAGACGGACAUGGAUGGAUUGUUUGUUUCGUUUUGUUUUGGGAUUUGGUAUAUACUGUUAUAAAUAAUCAAACGUUUGGUUGAUAAUAAUAAUAAUAAAAGGCUCUAGCAGUAUUUGCUUCUUUUAUACCGCUUAUGCUGCAUAUGAUAUCCAUCAGAAACUGUUGUCCCAAAAAAAAAAACAAAAUCCAUCAGACACUCAUAAUCCCAAUGUUACAAUAAAAAAAUUUCUUAAACUGUAGAACAAAUAAAAAUCAUAGCGAUUUUUUAUGACAACAAUAUAUAGCAAUAAUAACAAUGGAAAAAAUACAGCUCUUAUAAAAUUUUAGCUAGCCAAAUCAAUGGAACUUGAUAUACCUAGUACCAUUGUUGAUGGGACAAUCCAGACCCUCCAUAAUACAAAAACACAAAUCACAGUAAGACGUAGAACAAAUGAACAAAUCACAUAUGUGUUAACUUAAAGUAGAUGUUUUUUUUUUGUUGACUUGUUGGGACUUGACGUCACUUCUUGAAAAUAAGACUCAAAUUUCGAGUGAGACGAGUAAAUAUAACUAUAACAGAGAACAAUUUUUUUAAUGAGAUUUUCAGUUAAACAAGAAAAUUUUCUGCUGCUUGUUAAAUUAACUUAGCUUUAGUUUAUCUUAUAAUUUUCCCCAUUAAUCUUGACAGAUUGAUUAGAGCAUCAUUAUUGCUGAGUCAUUAAUAAUUGGUCCUUAAAAAUUUUUUUUUAUCCGAUUUUAAAAAAAAAAAUUUAAAAUUAAAAAUGAUCCAAUCGUGGGCCGCCACGUUUCAAUGGGGUCCACGAACAGUACAUGGACCAAACCAAAAUGUUUCUUAGUUAGAGACUUUUUCCCUCGAUUCUGGUGUUUUUGUGGACCCUUCCUCUUAAAGACCAAACUAAAAACCGCAAUAACUUUGUCCUUAGCUCUUUGUUAGUUAUAUUAAAAUUUUGUAAUUUUCCCUAGUCCUUACAGUUAGUUGGUUUGGCAUAUCCCCAUCAUAUAUUAAAGAUUAGCAUACAAAUAUAACAACGAUUUAGAAGAAUGAUAAAUAAAAAUUUCAUCGUUCCCAUUUGAAGAACAUUAAUUGUAAAAGACUCUCUUGAGUAUCUCAUCUUUUGGGACAAAUGACUCUCUUGAGUAGCUCAUAACUAGAAUAAUAAUACUUUAUCGUAAAAUAACUAUGUUUUUAUUUUUAAUUAAAGAGAAAAUUUGGUCUAAUGAAAAUAACAAAUAUAUUAAAAGUAUCUGAAAUGUUACCUCUUUCCUUUCAAUACACACACUUUCGUUUUUAUUUUUAUUUUAAAAUAUUUUAAUAGCUUGAUACCAUUAAAACAAUUCACGGAUGGCGAUGCCUUUUACCUAAUUUCCAAUUGGUAAUAAGAAGAAAAAAAAAGAUUUUUUUUAGACGACCUGGAUAAGGAUAUUCAGUUCCCAUCUUCAGAAUAGGACUUUAAAUCAUGAGAAUUAGAUAGAUAUGGGGAGUAAUUGGUCGGAAAAAAAAGGGGAUAGAUACGUAGAGUGAUAAUGGCUUCAUAACUAUACAUGUGUAUGUUUCACUAAUCUUGCAGGAUUUGCUAAAAUAAAUGAAUUAAAAAUGUAAACCACUAAAUAAUUAUAUGUUUUGAUAACUAGAUGAACUAAACCAAAGUGAAAAUUUUAUCCUCAAAUUAUUUGCAAUCGAUAGUCCUGAUAAACAGAAUUAAAAGCAAGAUUUUUUUUUCAUUUGAUCAUUUAUUCAUCAUCAUAGAUAGGGGUGGGCACUGUUAGUACUGUAGCUUCCAGUAUUUGUUAUUUGUUUUGUACAGACAUCUGAAUUUCUUAUUUUGUUUUGUUUCGAAAAAAUGCGGAUAUUCGGUUUUCAGAUAUCCGAAAAAUUUAUAGAUUUUUGCGAAUAUUUACAGAUAUUUACGAAUAUAUCAUCCAUUUUGUUUGAUACAAAUAAAUCUAAAAAACUAUACAAAUUUAUUUUCAAAAAUAUCUUUUACAUAAUGUAAAACAAACAGUAAAAACUAUAUGUUCCAUAGAAUUUAAAAUUAAUUAAUCUUUUUAUAAAACAUAAAUUUAAGAGAUAUAACUUACCGGCGGCGGAGUUCAACAAGACGCCUCUGAGAGAAUGCGCGCUAGGGUUUCCUCUCAGAUCUUAUAUAGAGGAAGCGGCUGUGAGAACGACGGUGAUAACGGCGGAGAGAUAACCGGCGGUGAGAACGAUGAAUUAGAGAGAAUCGGCGGAAAUCGCCUUUGAAAUUGCUUUUGAGAGAAACAUCGUUAGGGUUUUCUGAAUUUCGCCAAACAGUGAAUAAAAAAAAUACCUUAUAUAUGUCCGGUAAAUAAUUCGGUUAGGUUUAAAAGUACAUUGAAAAAUAAAAGGUUCGGUCCGGUUUGGACGACUUACUCUUCCCAGACCCUAAAUUUAACCCCUAAACUAAAUUGACUAAAUUAACUAACUAACCACGUUAUAAAGCCGUAGUUAUACUUAAAUAGUGUUUACUAUACACAGAAAUAAACACACUUAGGUAACUUUUAAAGUUUUCAAAAAAACAUUUAUGCAUUCCAAAAUCUAACCCUAAGAACACAUACAAUACUACAACAUAUGUUGGCAAAACCUAAACCAAAGAAUAUCAUGGCUCACUACUUUCACUCAUCUAUGUUGAAAACAAUUAACUUUUGUUAUAUCUUAAUUUAUAUCUCUUAAAACAUAUGUUAGUUAAUUACAUGAUUUCAAUUUUUUACUUAUCAAAAUAAUUUUUACAAAUUUUUUAAAUUACUUCUAAGUAGAACUACUCCAGGCGACUUUCCAGUAAGAAACGUUAAAAAAAUUCGGUUUUUUUGUUUGUUCACAAGGAGCUGGUUGUAAUUUCAAUAGCCUUUUAUGUUACUUUUGCAUUUGAUUCAAGUUUGGGUUUACUUUUUCAUUUGAGUAUAUUUGACAAUUUUCCCAUAAACAUAACACAAAUAUACGGACAUUAAGCGCGUAGCGCGGACCGAGCCUAGUUUAAAUAUAUACAGACGUUUCGAUAUUUUACAUUCACACGGUGUUGCUUGACCGUUGUUUCAAGCGGAUUUAUGAAAGCGCGUAUUGGUCACGAUCAUGUGUUGAGGAAGGCCUGUCGCGAUCAGGAAGUCAUGUUUAGACUUUUUCUUCGACGUGUUAUAUUAUAUAUGUCUAAGUCUUCGUUUCUAUCUUAUAAUUUUGGAUGAAGAAAUACAAACCAAAGACUUUUCCUCCAUUGAAAAGUAGCGAACCAAUCAAUUAGUAGUUAGUACCACUAACUUAGUAGUAUAUAAACAGAUGGGUAUGAAUAUAUGAUCUUAUAAACCCUCACCUUCAUUUCCAAAACCAAUAUCUAAAAGUUUUUCAUUUUUUUCUUUCUUUCUAGUAAACCAUGGGUCUAUUUUCGUUUUGGAAACUUCUAAAGGAGGUUGUGGGUAUGUUAAACGAAUCCCGCAAACUCUUUCUAAAGAACAAGAAGCUGAUGUUCUCUGUCUCUGUAUUUUAUCUCUUGCUCAAUGGUUUACUUUACUUAUUCAACGUCCUUACCAUUACACCCGAGAUAACAAACUUGACCCAAGAUUUAAAUUUGUUACCUACGAUGGAUCCUAGUAGCCCGGAAUACAUGGCCCAACUUAUGAAGGUCUUUGCAGAUUUUCGCCUAUUUGUCGUGUCUUCAGACAUCUUUAACGCUGUCUCCUUCAUCAUCAACCUUUUAUCCGUUCUAGUCAUCGUCCAGGCUUCGGCUCUUACUUAUAAACAUGAGAACGUCAAGUUCAAAGAUUUUGUGGUUCUGAUUCUUAAAUCUUGGAAGGGACCUCUUGUGACCUCUUUCUACAUUUCUCUCUUUAGUCUUGGCUACUGUUUGUUCUUCGUUAUAAUCCUCUUUCCUAUUCUUUUGUCAUCUUUGAGUAUUGCUUCCUUGUUUUCCUUAGUAGCCAAGGUUUUCGUUUUACUUGUUC
rnacentral:lncRNA from 1 species